UACGUAGGGUGCGAGCGUUGUCCGGAAUUAUUGGGCGUAAAGGGAGUGUAGGCGGUUUGACAAGUCUUCUGUGAAAUCUACGGGCUUAGCCUGUAACGUGCAGAGGAAACUGUCAGGCUUGAGUGUCGGAGAGGAUAGGGGAAUACCCAGUGUAGAGGUGAAAAUUCGUAGAGAUUGGGUGGAACACCAGUGGCGAAGGCGCCUAUCUGGCUGACAACUGACGCUGAGACUCGAAAGCAUGGGGGAGCAAACAGG
rnacentral:rRNA from 1 species